AGAGGUAUAGUUAAAAAUAACAUUACUUUGUCAAAGUAAAAUUACUUUAUAAAAGUUAUCUCUU
rnacentral:tRNA from 1 species